CAAUCAGUUAUCGUUUAUUUGAUAGUACCUUACUACAUGGAUACCUGUGGUAAUUCUAGACCUAAUACAUGCUAAAAACCUCGACUUCGGAAGGGGUGUAUUUAUUAGAUAAAAAACCAAUGCCCUUCGGGGCUCUCUGGUGAUUCAUAAUAACUUCUCGAAUCGCAUGGCCUUGCGCCGGCGAUGGUUCAUUCAAAUUUCUGCCCUAUCAACUUUCGAUGGUAGGAUAGUGGCCUACCAUGGUGGCAACGGGUAACGGGGAAUUAGGGUUCGAUUCCGGAGAGGGAGCCUGAGAAACGGCUACCACAUCCAAGGAAGGCAGCAGGCGCGCAAAUUACCCAAUCCCGAUCCGGGGAGGUAGUGACAAUAAAUACUGAUACAGGGCUCUUUAGGGUCUUGUAAUUGGAAUGAGAACAAUUUAAACCCCUUAACGAGGAACAAUUGGAGGGCAAGUCUGGUGCCAGCAGCCGCGGUAAUUCCAGCUCCAAUAGCGUAUAUUAAAGUUGUUGCAGUUAAAAAGCUCGUAGUUGAACCUUGGGCCUGGCUGGCCGGUCCGCCUCACGGCGUGCACUGGUCCGGCUGGGCCUUUCCUUCUGGGGAACCCCAUGGCCUUCACUGGCCGUGGGCGGAACCAGGACUUUUACUGUGAAAAAAUUAGAGUGUUCAAAGCAGGCCUUUGCUCGGAUACAUUAGCAUGGAAUAAUAGAAUAGGACGUGUGGUUCUAUUUUGUUGGUUUCUAGGACCGCCGUAAUGAUUAAUAGGGAUAGUCGGGGGCGUCAGUAUUCGGCUGUCAGAGGUGAAAUUCUUGGAUUUGCUGAAGACUAACUACUGGGAAAAGCAUUCGCCCAGGGAUGUUUUCAUUAAUCAGUGAACAAAAGUUAGGGGAUCGAAAGACGAUCAGAUACCCGUCGUAGUCUUAACCAUAAACUAUGCCGACUAAGGAUCGGAACGGGGUU
rnacentral:rRNA from 1 species